UGUGUUCUGCUUGCAUUUGGUAGGCGGGUGUUAAUAUUAAGUUCUGUGUAGCUCAAUCUUAGUUAUAUGGUAUACUGUUUAAAGCUGCUGACAAUGAGUUCUCUUUUCUUCUGCAUAAUUUCAACUUUGGUCCACUUGUUGUUUUUCUCCUUGUCUGUUGAUACACAAGGAUUGAAUUCUACUCUAGAGUAUACAGAUUCUCAGAAUGUGGAGUUGGGGUUUUGGAAUUAUGUUUAUAUCUGCCGCUGGACUGUAGGACUGACCAUCAUACUAACCGGCGUAACCUUAAUAAUCAUUACCAUCAGGGCGUUAUAACGACGGCUUCUGAUUCUCACAUCUUGUAUUCAAAGCUGAUGAUCCUCAUACACUGUACAUUUUUUGUAGGAAUUACAGUAUUUCUGGCAGCUGUUUGCCAGUAACUUACUGUAGAUUAAAAUUUAUGUUACUUACUACAAUUUGUUCAAAGUUAAAUGAACAUUAAACAUUAACAUUAACGUCUUUAUCUUUACAGAAUAAAACUAAAAUAACACCCUUAUUAAAAGCAUUCUGGCAACCAAAAUCUAAAGGAAAAAACUGAAAAAGGUUGAUGAAAAUUUCCGGGAAUGUGCUUAUUUUAUAGAUUUAUUCUGUAAAGACAAAGACUUGUUAAUGUGUAAUGUUCAUUUAACUUUGAACAAACGGUUGCCAGUUAAUAACAUAAUUUUAAAUAUACAGUAAGUUACUGACAAACAGCUGCAUUACUACAGCAAAUGUUUUUAUAGUCUACCAUAGCAACAUUUCAGCCAGUUUUCUACUUCUUAAUCAGUAUCUAUGCUAACAUUGAGGCCAACCUGUAGGACAUUCGUAGAUCAAGUCCUAUGCUGUUUUACUUUACUCCAAUUACUGUUGAGAUCUUAUACCUUUAAGUUGAAUUUUUUUUCUGUUAUUGUCAUAUUACUUUUAUUUUGUUUGGAUUUUGUUUUUGGUUCAAAGUAGUGUGAACUGUAUAGGCUGGAUGUGAAAAACCAUAUAUCUGAUUGUUUGUGUUUUGGAAUAUUUAUGUUACUGCACCUAGAUUAGUUUAUGUGAAUACACCAGUGCAUGCACUCUACAUUAUCUAAAAGCCAAAUGCUGUAUUUUGUUCAAGUUCA